UUGAAACCAGUAUAAGGAAGCUGUCAAAUACCGUGUACUCUAAAACUUAGACAGAAUCCCAGAUAAGGUCUUGAUGGAAGAAGAGACAUAGAUGUUACAAGAACUUUAACCAAAGCCUGGUCCUGGUACCACUCGACCUGGCACUCAGAAACCUUCCUGGGGUGCACUGAGUGUGCAAAUGCCUUUCCCAGGAUUUGUGUGUUCAUGUGCGUAUAUUUAUAAUAUGGGUAUUUAUAGAUAUAUAUAGCCUGUGUACUGCUUAAAGGAAUUUAUCCUAACAAAUAAUUAAAAGAGGAGGUUUUUCUGCAUAAAGAUGUUGAUCA
rnacentral:lncRNA from 1 species